CCUGUGGGCUUUCUGUCUGUGUCAGCACUGCAGCUCUCCGCCAGCGGGUACACCUCAGAACCUGCCUCGUGAAUGAGCAGCAAACCCAGGAGGUCUACCAAACUUCAGUGGCUGCUGGAGCAACCGGAUCAUGUAAGUGGGACAUGGAAGCUAAGGCCGUGAGGCACACCUAGGAGUUCUCCAGUCUUGCAGGUUUUCUUCGCUGACAGGAGCAGCGGGCUACCCUGAGCCCAGGUGGUGGAGGUCUGCUGGCUUUAGCCGCGGGGCAGAGGACAUUGGAUGAUGCAGCCUUCCUAUACAUGGCGCCUUAGCAGCUCGAAGGCAUCCAGCAACAGCCUCAGCCGCAGUUAGAGAAUUCAACAUGAUCCAGACUAGAUGGGCAGCAGGACAGCGGCUGAGGGCUGGGAUCGUUUCUGGGAUGAGGGAGACUCUUCUAGGGCAAGGGUGUCAGCUGAGGUCCCGCAAUGACAGGUCUCCGGAACUUGCACAUAACUAGAUCACUAGGGAGACCACAGCUCUUAAUUAUGAUGCAAAUCACACAGAAUGGUCCCUGGAGGAAAUGAGAGUCACUAAAAUGAGACAACAUAGAUUUAUUAUGUCCAUCCUGCCUCAAGGGAGGCACCGUCCCUCAGACGUCCACAAUGCUUUUGCAGCCUCGGUGUUCCAUGCUCACUUCGGCAUAGCUUGGGGACCUUGACAGGGCAGUCCCUCUUUGUGCCACGAAGAUCACAUUAUCUAGAUUAAAGUGCUGUGAUACACCAUCCAGUGCUCAGUGUCCCGUGCAGAUGGCUUCCGUAGAGUCCCCCUCUGGCCACCACUGUAGGACUCUCUGGGCAGUGCCUGCAGUCAGGGCUUCAGUACCCAGGGUAU